rnacentral:rRNA from 1 species
GACAGAGGGUGCAAACGUUGUUCGGAAUUACUGGGCGUAAAGCGCGUGUAGGCUGUUCUGCAAGUCGGGUGUGAAAGCCCCGGGCUCAACCUGGGAAGUGCACUCGAAACUGCAGAACUUGAGUCCUGGAGAGGAAGGCGGAAUUCUCGGUGUAGAGGUGAAAUUCGUAGAUAUCAAGCGGAACACCGGUGGCGAAGGCGGCCUUCUGGACAGUGACUGACGCUGAGACGCGAAAGCGUGGGGAGCAAACAGG